CAAUAAACCACAAGGGAGAUCCCGCGGAAGUUUAUUCCUGACACAAACAUUGCAAGCCUUGACAAAGUCUUCUACAUCCCUACGUAAACCGGGCCACCAGAAGUCUUUGGAGAUCAGGCAGUAAGUUUUGUGGAUGCCGGGGUGACCAGCGAACUUGCUAUCGUGAAAACAGCGAAUAAUGUCCACUUGGAAUUUGGGAGACACGAACAAGCGGCCCACAGGAGUACGUUCGGGAGCAAGAGAUUGUUCGUUCAUAAUAUCAGCGAGCAAUGGAGAGUGUAUUUUGACAUUGGUGUUGGCGAUAAUAUUGACUUCAGGAAUAAUAGGGAACAAAGUGUCCUCUGUAGAGGUGAUAGGUUCGUGCUGACGUGACAAAGCG